rnacentral:rRNA from 1 species
GGAGAAUCCUGAAUUCGAAAGGGGUUGGAUUCAGAUUCUACCGCUUGAUAUUCGUGCGGCCCCGACCGCAGACGGUGCCGGUCGCCCGCAAGCGAUUAAUUUCGCCUGCGGUGUCGUUUCCGGCGUCCGCUCGGUUGGUGGUCAGCUGAAAACGUCGCGGAGUUUCGCACUUCUCCCCUAGUAGAAACGUCGCGACCCGUUGGGUGCCGGCCGAAGGCCUGGGAAGGUAGCCCGCGCGUCCCGCGGUGGUUGCCGCGGGCGCGCGGACUCCCGUCGUCCUGGCCGGCUGCCCGACGGUAGGACCAGAGGAGCCGAUCCGCUGAAUGGGAAACACUGUGGUUUGUGAAGCGUGCGGCCCGGCGCCGACGCGUGCGGGGAUUGAGGUGUAAACCGGGGGUGCCCGUGCGAAGCACGGUCCCGGCCCCGCUGCGUGUUCGGCUGCCGGUGUCCUCGCACUGGAUUCGGUACUCCCGUCUGCGACGCCCAUUUUCGGAUGGUCUCCCG